rnacentral:lncRNA from 1 species
UCUAAAUUGGUUUUAAAUCAAAUCAACCUUGAAAAAUCGAGGUAAUUGACAAAAAGCAGCGAGUCUAAAGUAUUGUACAAACAGAAAGUACAGGUGACUCUCUUGUGGACAAAGAGGGAGGAAGAAUGAAGCUGUCGUGAGAUGCAGAAAAGAAGGCGAGACCGAGAAGGAUUGUAAGAAUGAGAGGUCGAGAGAAGGGUUACCUUUAGACAAAGAGGUGUCGCGUACAAAACAGUUAAUGAGUCUACGGCUGGGUGGUCCGGCCCGGGGCUUCGUCUUAAUAACGUCGAGGCGAGAGUGAACAUGGAGGUUGUGCAGAGGAUGUUAAGAGUUUUGAGGUUAUAUCGUGAUCACUUAUUGGCAUUGGAUUAUGAGAACUUUUUAUCGAUGAAGACGUCCAGCUUGAUUGUUGUGCAAAUUAACGGUCGACUGAAUAUCACCAGCCUUUUCUCUUGAAUCUAGAAAUUGCCUCGAGAAUUCCAUCCCGUAUUCUAGAUUAUGAGAACAACCUCCCCAUUUCCAGUGUGCUCCGCGUGCUUUUGCUGGUGGUUUACCCUUGUAACUAGACGGAUCGCAACCGCAGGAAAUCAAACGACCCAUGCUGCAGGAUUUUGCAAUACUGUGUGCUACACCAGCAGCUGAUAUCGCAUAGGCAAAAGCCGUUUCUCUGUAACCUGGAACAAAGAAGACGCAAUUUCAUUACACAAAUUUUACACUUGGGUGAUUGACGAUGUUGCACAUGAUAACACUAGAGUCUCCUGGAAUCUUUCAUUUUUCAACUGGAAAAAAUAUCUCUUUCUUUCAACUCUGUCUGCUUAUUUUUUUUUUUCAUAACGAAGUUAUUGUAAUGGAAUCGAUUUUUAAAAUUCGAAUCAGGGACAAUUUUUACUGAUUUUCAGUGUUAGUUCAACUGCUGAUUCAUUCAGUAAUUAGACAGGCACCGAUAAUCAGUGAUUAUUUAGUGCUAAUCUAAUUAUUGAUUCAAUCAAUGGUUGGAUUAGCACUGAAAAUCAGUAAAAAUUGUCUGUGAUUCGCAAUUAUUUUCACUGAUUCAAAAUAUUGUUAAUAAAUGAGACCAAUAUCAACAAAAUACUGUUGUAAAUGACUAUACAUUAAUUUUAACAAUGGGAUAUUGUUUAUAACAAUUGCAAUUUGUUAUAUGGAGAACUGUUUAAUGGAAAGUUUGUCAUAGUACAUCCCUUUUGGCUUUUAACAACAUGAAUUUCGAGACAAUAAUAUUAUGUAUUAAUGUACGUGAAGCUCAUGUGUUUUUAUCAUCUCUGAGAAAGCGAAAAAAAAAGUAAAUACGGUUCAUGCGUUUCUCGAGAGCCUAUACUGGGUUCCUUCAACUCCGUCUCCUCCACGUCGUCGGCGUACUUGUUGUCGUCCGAGGAGAGAAGUAGAGAGCGGAUUCAAGAUCUACUGAGAGACGUAUAGCUCCCACUGGAGGAUUUAUUACGACUUCUCUAACAUCCUGCUCACCCAUCCAGCGGUUGCAUACCACCCGUCCUACCACUUGGAGUAGUCAACACUGAUGAUGCAAAACUUGAUGCUUUUGGGAGUCAAUCAGGCAUUUUAAUUGGCCAAGUGUCAUCAUGAAGCAUGAUCAAUAGGACUGCUUCAGUUUAAUCCUAUUUGAAGUAUUACUAAGUGUUCCAGGGAAUCAGAGAUCAGGAUAUUGAUUAAAGACUAUGAGAUGGUGUUGAUUCAGAGAAGAAUUUAGUUUGAAAAGAGAAUCAUUUUCUAGCUUUAUUCGAUCAAGCUAAUUAUUGAAUUAAUUUUCUAGGAAAACAUAAAGGUACUUGUUGAUAGUGAUGAACAAUUCCACCUGUGCCAUGCAAAUUGAUGUUGACAUUCAGUUAUCGCCAUCUGGAGACCUUUGAUUGCCGCUGCUGUCACGUCUGGAUUUGCAUAGCAAAGAUCUCUUUGCUCCUUCGUCAACCCUGGGAUUCCAUUGCAGACAAUUAUAUUACCACUUGACCAGUCAUCCACUGAAUUACUCAUCAACCCCAUCGCUCUAAAAUGAAUGAAAAAAAUUCAACAUGUAAAUGAAGUUCAUUGAUCAAAUAGCAUCACCAGCACCAAUAAAUAUCACAUGGUAAUGAAGGAAGAUUGAUCACAGUGGAGAUUGUUGGAGAAAAUGCUAUUAAUAAACAUCACUAAUUAAAAGUAAUCUAAGCAACCUAUCGUCAUAAUUAAAUAACAACACACUCAGCAGUCUUGGAUAAUCUAUUCACAUCGAUCUAGACUCUACAUCAUUUUUCUCUUAUUUCUCGUGGCCAAAUAUUUAUGCACCAUACAAAUUGGCCAUAAAAACAAGACCCUAAAAGUAAGGAACGUGUUGCACCCGCGUGUGAAUGUGCAAAUUCUUCGGGGACCUGUGUGACUUUGGGAGAGAGAGAGGCUUUGGAAUCAGCUGAAAGACAGAAAGGUACCAGGAGGAAGAUAGAGGAUCCUAUUUGGUGGAUCCUGCAAGAAGGUUUCAAGUUAUUGAGCGUUCCCAUUACUUCUACAACACCGGUGCUGGUAUCUUAUGCACUAUUGAUGAUCUAAUGAAAGUGAAUUGAUGAUUCAAAGGCGAUAGACAAAUUGCUACAUAAAUGUGAAUACGCUCUAGAGUGUUUUGUGCUGCUAAAUUAUCAACAACUUGACCAGCAACGAAUCAGAUCAUUGAAGAUCUAUCAUCUCCAAAAAAAGAAACAAAAUGUUGAAUAUUAAUCAGAUACCAUGGGUCUUAAUAAAUAAUUAUUCACUUAAUUAAUUUUUCAACUCAAUCGAUCUACGUAUUUAAAGUGAAGUAAGAAAUGAUUAUUAAUAAAUGAAAGUAUAGAAAAAAUAAAUAUAGAAUAAGGAAAUAAGCAGACAAGUUUUCGUUUCCAUCAGCUACCAUAUGUUCAAUUUACACUUAGAGUCUGUUUUCCAAUCAAAAACAUCCAGAGAUAUUGGGUUCAAAAGGUGCCAACAUUUAACGAACUUGUUCAAAUAUAUCUUUAAUACUAUUUAACUUUAGUUUUACGAUCACUCAA